GACGGUACAGGAAUUAGCUUGCUAAUUUGCUGACGAGUGGCGCACGGGUGCGUAACGCGUAUACAAUCUACCUUUUGCUGAGGGAUAGCCCAGAGAAAUUUGGAUUAAUACCUCAUGGUAUUAUUGAUAGGCAUCUAUUAAUAAUUAAAGGUUACGGCAAAAGAUGAGUAUGCGUCCCAUUAGCUAGUUGGUGAAGUAACGGUUCACCAAGGCAACGAUGGGUAGGGGUCCUGAGAGGGAGAUCCCCCACACUGGUACUGAGACACGGACCAGACUCCUACGGGAGGCAGCAGUGAGGAAUAUUGGACAAUGGGCGAGAGCCUGAUCCAGCCAUGCCGCGUGCAGGAAGACUGCCCUAUGGGUUGUAAACUGCUUUUAUACAGGAAGAAUAAGCCUUACGUGUAAGGUGAUGACGGUACUGUAAGAAUAAGGACCGGCUAACUCCGUGCCAGCAGCCGCGGUAAUACGGAGGGUCCGAGCGUUAUCCGGAAUUAUUGGGUUUAAAGGGUCCGUAGGCGGAUGAUUAAGUCAGGGGUGAAAGUUUGCAGCUCAACUGUAAAAUUGCCUUUGAUACUGGUCAUCUUGAGUUGUAUUGAAGUAGGCGGAAUAUGUAGUGUAGCGGUGAAAUGCAUAGAUAUUACAUAGAACACCAAUUGCGAAGGCAGCUUACUAAGUACUAACUGACGCUGAUGGACGAAAGCGUGGGUAGCGAACAGGAUUAGAUACCCUGGUAGUCCACGCCGUAAACGAUGGAUACUAGCUGUUCGGGGCCUUGAGCUCUGAGCGGCUAAGCGAAAGUGAUAAGUAUCCCACCUGGGGAGUA
rnacentral:rRNA from 1 species